GUUGUGUCCGCUGGCUCAGCGCAGCCCUAGCCACUGCCUUCCCCCUCCGCGGCCGCUGCGUGCAGGGCCCGCCUGCUGCGGGCUGAUCGCUCCCUGCGCGGAGCUGUUCUGGGCUCAGCGGCAGGGGGCAGACCCAGGGUCGGGGGGUCUUACCCUCUCCUCCCCCAAUCCCCUAAACCUGGCACCAGCUUGCCAGGAAAUUGACUGUAAACCCGGGUCUGUAACCUGUGCUGACUGGGCAUCUGCGGGACAACAACGGCCACCACCACCACCAAGUACUGGACGCUGCUGUGCGGGUUUGCUGGCGGCUCUGCCAAUGGAAACCGCUUCACGCCUUUAAAUGUAGCCGCCUUUCUAUUAAGUUACGAACGUCGAGUCUCUCGGCUGCAGAGGGCUCUUGCUGCUGUAAUCAGCUUUGGGUACGGGGCUGGGAUGGGUUUCAGCCCCUUCAGCUGUUGCCUCCUCUCUUCCUUCACCUCACCUACAUCUCUACUCGCUUUCUUCUGGAUAUUUAUAUAAAACCCCAGAUAUGCAGUGAUUGGCAGCGUGUACAUGAGUGGAGAGCAUAACCUAGAAGGUUCAAUCCUGUUAAAAUCAGUGGCAUUACUUCCAGUGACUACAGCAGGAACAUGUACAACUAUGUUCCAUGGCUGUCUGAUGAAACUGAUUGUCCAUUAACAUUGUUGAUGCUGUGAAGUAAGUAAUGUGAAGAACUGGAAGACAAUGAAUGGAUAGAUGGUCCACUUAUGCUUGCACCAUUUCCAAUACGAUUAUAUAUUAAGGCACCAUGCUCAUCUUCACAAAACUGGUUUACUAAUUUGGACUCCAAAGCUUAAAGAAAAGAGAACAGCAUUAUUUAUGGAAAUAGAGACUCAAUCAGGAAAUAAGGUUAUUUAUGUGCCAUAAUAAUAAUUAUUAAUUAAUAAUAAAUAAUGAAAAUUAAUAAUACAGACAGCCCCUCUGGACUAUUCACCAUAAGUCUUCCAGCUCCCUCAGACCUCCAUUACUUGUACUCCAAUGUGCAAGGCACAUUGUGGCAUAAAAUAAGAUCUGUGUCUCUAACCUCAGCCAGCUGUGCUUAUUCAAGCCUCUGAAUCUCUUAAAAUAUCUCUUAGUCAUUACCUCAUAAUAGGCCAAUCUUACUUGCCUUCGUCAUGUAACUAAUCCCAUGGAAGAGAGUGAGAAAUCAGGAUUUGUCUCAUCUGGCUCCCUGCUCUGGAUGCUUUGCAUUAUGCCAGUGGUGCAAAUCAGCUGGACACCUGGCUUAAUUGCCUAUUUGGGAAUUUCUGUUUUGUAAGUGGAACCUGUGGCUGGCAUUGAGCCAAUGUAGAAGCUCAGUACCUUACCUCUACCCAGCCCUUUGGCAUAACUGGUGUCAGUGGACCAUCUCAGUGCUCCUGCAAUUCCCAGCUGCCAGAAUGACUCCAUUCGGGCAUGUGCAGCCUAGUGUAAAUUAGAGCAGUCUUUGAGCUGCUCUAACUUAUGCUAUGGGUUGGACCAUUCCUUUACCAGCCUCAGAAACUGCUGCACCCCAUCCUUCAAGAUGCACCCAGUAUAGCUCAAAAUCUAGGCCAAGAUCUCUGGAAGUUUACACAGAAAGAAAAACAAGCCAUUCUUUCCAUUGGACAAGUUUAGCAUGCUCUGGAUUAAUUUACAAAUAUUUAACACAAUUACAACAAAAUGCACUCACCUGGAAGAGUAUUAAAAUCAUCAAUGAGAUACAUAUGUUCUCUGUCAGGAUCUGAUGCAAUCAGAUUUAGUUCACGCAAGAAUUCAACUUGUGUUGGAUCUGAAGUAUUUACAAUUCCUAUUGCAUACAUUUCAAUGUUGGUUGCGUGGGCCUCUCGGACAGCGAUAUCCAGUUUAAUAGCCUCUCUCUUAUCUGCCUGUCCAUCUGUUAAUACUAUAGCUACUUUUCGCACACCAGUUCGAGCACCAAAAAAUCCUUCCUGUGUUGUUUUGCGGAUAGCAGUUGCUGUAUAUGUACCUUCCCCCAUAUACAGCAUUUUUCUAAUUGCUUGUUUCACAUCUUGUUGGGUUGUGUACCUGUUAAGUCCAAAUUCUAGCCGAACCUCUAAACUGUAGAGUACAAGACCAAUUCUGGUAGCAUUUCUGCCUACAGUUACUCUAUCUACUAAAGCAAUGACAAAGUCUUUAAUUAUCUCAAAAUUUUCUGGUCCCACACUUUCAGAGCUGUCAAUCACAAACACAAGCUCCAUAGGUAUUUCCUUACAUUUAAUACCACAGCCUGUAGAGGAAGAAUAAAAAUCAGAUCAUGAUUAGUUCUGGAUUUAUUAUUAUACUUAGUCUUGUGUGUGUGUAUAUAAUAGAUAUUACUGCCAUUAUAGCUUGAGUAGAGCUUAAUAUAUUACUAUAUACUAGCUAUGCAAUGAUAAAUUUAUUCUGUACUUAUGGUGGAAGAGGAGAAGGUAAAAGUAAAUUAAUAAACAGGAUCUGAAAUGUAAGGUUGAUUAAACACUUACCACAUAUCUCUUUAAUUAAUUUAAUUAUAUCUUCUCUCUAAGUAAGAAAAAAAUAGAAAAUAAUAACAUAGCACAUUAUUUAACAAUUGUACACUCUCAGAUGACCUAUAAUAUUGUCCUUGCCAAUCAUUUAAUUCCAGAUAUUUGUUCUGAUAAAAAAUGCCAUAGUCUUUCAUGCUUAAUUAUGCCUCUGCUGAGUCUGAACUGCAUCAGGGCCCCAAUUCAGCAAAACUCUUACAGAAGUGUUUAAGUCCCAUUAAAGUCAAUGGGACUUAAGUCAGGCACCUUUUAUAUUGUUUCUUAAAUGUGUAUAAUAUAGCCGGUUGCGAGUCUACUAACAUUUUUUCUCAAUGUAAAACUCAGUCAGGAAACAUUCCAAAUAAUAAUCCCCAUGUGAUUCAUUAACUCAUAACAUCUUGCAUUUAAUUUGUAUCUUUACAACAAGAUUUGCUUACUGUUAGGCCUUGCUCUCCCUUGGGUCCAGUACUGCCCUGCAAUGAAGACUAUAAUUUAGCUAUUAGCAAUUAAUUAGUAACCACUAAUGUAAUUUGAACUAUUAUUUUAUCAGCCUUGUAAUUUAUAUAAUAUUUAGAUAAUAAGAACUCUCUCUUUUCUAUAAAAAUGUACAGUUAAAGUAUUAGGGCUCGGUCCAACACAAAAUAUCUACCGUCUUCUGGGCAGCACAAGUCCUAUGAGACUGCAGCUUUAAUUGGAGUCUAGUCAGAAGAAUGAUCAAAAUGCUAUGGAGACCAGAAGACCCCAAACCUCCAGCUGUAGGGCUGUGAGUUACUAUCUAUCCAGAGACGGGAGAAUUCAUGCAAAUUACUUUCUGCCUGCCAUGCUCUGCAAGUGCCAGCUCCCAGAACAUUCUGCCUCCCAACCUGCUACUAUAGGAGUGGCUGCAAGAACUCUAGGAUUGCCAUAAUUCCCGUUCGUGUGCACAAGUAGACAAUGAUAGGCUCAAUACCAGGGUUAAGGGCUGGGGCAGUUUUAUUUAAAAAAAUGAAAAAACACACAAAUAAAGCCCACUAAACAAGAAGCAAAUGGCAGAGGAGGAGUUGGUCAUCAGACUUUUCCCAUCUCUCUCUCCGCUCCUUGCUGUGAUGAUUAUUUGGGUCUUUCCCCAGCAUCAGUGUUCCUUUCCACACACACAUGCCCCCACUUAAUCAUUUCUCUUUUAUGGAGAGGGUUGAUGGACAGUUAAAUUUGACUUUAGAACAGAACUAUGUGGUUGUGUACCUUUAAGUUGAUUGACUUUCACUUCUCUAAGGAAGAAGCUGCACCUAUUGUUUUGACCUCUGGACUCUCACUGAGCAAGGGAAUGUGUAUUUUAUAAGGAAUUCUGUCUUUAAAAUCCUUGCAUAGUUUGACUUUUUUUUCAUAAGUAUUUCAGAUUAUUUGCAAUUAAAUAGUGAUGAAAACACUUUACGCAGCCAUAUACUUAGGGCGUUUAAAAUUUGUUUAAAACAAACUCAUUGAUAAAUUGUAGGAACUCACAGGUUCUCCGGACAAACCAGGAUCACCCAUGUUGCCUUUUUCUCCUUUUCUUCCCCUUUCACCUGCAGCACCGCGAUCACCCUUGGAAUGAUGCAUUAGUUAGACAAUAGCUGUAAGUCACAUCUUUCAAUUUAAACUUUUCAUUUUAUAUCUAGCUGUCAUUGUUGAAACCUUGUGCAGCUGGUGGAAAGAACUAAAAACCAUUCUACCAAAGUUCUGUUCCUUUUUAUUGUAAUAAGUUCUAUGUGUCAUAUUUCAAAAUAUAUUUAAAUUGUAAUAUUGUGAAAGGUACUUUAUAAACUUUAAACUGAAGGCCUGAUUCUGUGAAGGGCUGGAUGUUCUCAAAUCCCACUGACCUUAAAAGGAGUCAAUGAGCAUUUUACAAUGAGGUGUUCAACACCUUGCAGGAUCAAGCCCAGUGUUAGUUACAACAGUACGUUUAAAUUGUACUAAACUCAGAUAAAGCUUUUCAUUGCUUCCUUGCACUUUGACGUGUGUAAGAUGUAAUCAAAUUAAUAUCUGUGGGGGAAGAAAAUACUGGAGUUGAAAUGCUGGCUUUCUACUGUGAAUUUCUCAUUGGCUCACUUUUUAAGAAGCGGGCAUGAUGAUGAAAAGAAGACAUACUAUAUCAGACAGAGUAGACGCUCCAAGGGGAAGGCUCCACUGAGCUAGAUGGCAAACGGAACAAUCUGCUGUCACAUUAGUAAAAACUUAAUUUAAAAAGUUCUGCAUACCACUGCACCUAAUCAAGAUAAAAUAUGACAUCUGUUUACUGAUUUUCCUUGUCUCUAACUAUAUUCUCUAUUACAUAAUUGCCCUACAAAUUCUCAUCCCCUAGUCUCUCUCCACAGAAUAUAAGUAACUCCACUCGGAGUUUAAUCCAGUAUGUUGACUUCAGGGGAGUACUGGGCACCAGACAUUCUUUCAUUUAUAUACUGUACCUUUGGUCCAAGUAGUCCUUCCCCAGGAGGCCCCCGAGGUCCUGGCAUUCCUUGAAUUCCUUGCUCACCCUAAUGAUGUUUCAGUCAGAAAUGUUAACACUUGAUGACCAUUCAUCAUAUAUUAAUGUUAAAUAUUCACAGCAAAAUUGUUUCAAGCUAUAUUUUAAUGAAUAUACUGAACGAUAUCACAGGUCAUGUAGAUUUCUUUAUGCAGAUAUAUUUUGGCAUAUGCUUUCCUUGCUUCCCAUCAAGAAUAUUUUUGAGCUUCCUCAAAAGGGAAGGGCCAGCUUGUGAAUCCCUUAUUCACCCUGCUGAGUACCUAUUUGUGUAAAUAGACAAAUUAAAGUGAAUGGGACUUCUCACAGGAACAAGUUCUCACCAGGGUGAAUAAGAGCUGCACAGGCGAGCCACAUAUGACUCCUUUCCUUCUUAAUAUUUUAAAAUAAAAUUGGCUUUUUCUGUUUUUCUUCUCAUCUUCUCUUGGUCUCUCCCCCUCAUUCCUCUCUCCCAUCCCUUUGGUCUGAAUCAUCACUCUCCACUUACGCAUCCUUUCCUAGUGUAAAAGUACCAAUUAUAGGAGAAGAGGAGCAUGACAUCUAUACUCAGUGUUGCGCCUUCUCCUUCCCAACUGACAGUUAAUAGAAUUAUUCCAAGCUUGGCACAAGUGUGCAUCACAGGGAUUGAUAGAAAAGGAACAGGGAAAGGUGGCCUUGUUUUUUGGUGCCCACUUGCAAGGCUAACUAUAUUUGAGACUAGUUGAGACUUUGUCCUGGAGGCUCCUGGGCCACCUCCCCUAGACCUUGCUGUUAAUCUAGCAGGGAGAAAGAGGACAGUCACUGUUGAUGCUCAUGUUACUCUUUUCAGUCUCCACCUUCAGCCCCUUAGCCAACCAGGGUAUUAAAAAAAAAAAAAAAAGGAAACAAAAAA